AGUGAACGCUGGCGGUAGGCCUAACACAUGCGAGUCGAACGGCAGCACAGUAAGAGCUUGCUCUUACGGGUGGCGAGUGGCGGACGGGUGAGGAAUACAUCGGAAUCUACUUUUUCGUGGGGGAUAACGUAGGGAAACUUACGCUAAUACCGCAUACGACCUACGGGUGAAAGCAGGGGAUCUUCGGACCUUGCGCGAUUGAAUGAGCCGAUGUCGGAUUAGCUAGUUGGCGGGGUAAAGGCCCACCAAGGCGACGAUCCGUAGCUGGUCUGAGAGGAUGAUCAGCCACACUGGAACUGAGACACGGUCCAGACUCCUACGGGAGGCAGCAGUGGGGAAUAUUGGACAAUGGGCGCAAGCCUGAUCCAGCCAUACCGCGUGGGUGAAGAAGGCCUUCGGGUUGUAAAGCCCUUUUGUUGGGAAAGAAAAGCAGCAGGUUAAUACCCCGCUGUUCUGACGGUACCCGAAGAAUAAGCACCGGCUAACUUCGUG
rnacentral:rRNA from 1 species